GAUGAACGCUGGCGGCGUGCCUAAUACAUGCAAGUCGAGCGAACAGACGAGGAGCUUGCUCCUCUGACGUUAGCGGCGGACGGGUGAGUAACACGUGGAUAACCUACCUAUAAGACUGGGAUAACUUCGGGAAACCGGAGCUAAUACCGGAUAGUAUAUUGAACCGCAUGGUUCAAUAGUGAAAGACGGUUUUGCUGUCACUUAUAGAUGGAUCCGCGCCGCAUUAGCUAGUUGGUAAGGUAACGGCUUACCAAGGCAACGAUGCGUAGCCGACCUGAGAGGGUGAUCGGCCACACUGGAACUGAGACACGGUCCAGACUCCUACGGGAGGCAGCAGUAGGGAAUCUUCCGCAAUGGGCGAAAGCCUGACGGAGCAACACCGCGUGAGUGAUGAAGGUCUUCGGAUCGUAAAACUCUGUUAUUAGGGAAGAACAAAUGUGUAAGUAACUAUGCACGUCUUGACGGUACCUAAUCAGAAAGCCACGGCUAACUACGUG
rnacentral:rRNA from 1 species